rnacentral:rRNA from 1 species
GCAUUGGGCCGGCGGUCUCCAUUGGCCUUCAAAAGCUGACGGGGCUCGGCGGCGUCUUACUUUGAAAAAAUUAGGGUGCUCAGAACAGGCUUGAGCCUGCAUAUUCGCGCAUGGAAUAAUGGAAUAGGACCUCGGUUCUAUUCUGCUGGUUUUCGGAUCCCGAGGUAAUGAUUGAGAGGGGCAGACGGGGGCAUUCGUAUUGCGGCGCUAGAGGUGAAAUUCUUGGACCGCCGCAAGACGGACUACUGCGAAAGCAUUUGCCAAGAAUGUUUUCAUUAAUCAAGAACGAAAGUUAGAGGUUCGAAGGCGAUCAGAUACCGCCCUAGUUCUAACCAUAAACGAUGCCGACCAGCGAUCCGCCCGAGUUCUUCGUACGUCUCGGCGGGCAGCUUCUGGGAAACCAAAGUUUUUGGGUUCCGGGGGAAGUAUGGUUGCAAAGCUGAAACUUGAAGGAAUUGACGGAAGGGCACCACAAGGAGUGGAGCCUGCGGCUUAAUUUGACCCAACACGGGAAAACUUACCCGGCCCGGACACCGGAAGGAUUGACAGAUUAAUAGCUCUUUCUUGAUUCGGUGGGUGGUGGUGCAUGGCCGUUCUUAGUUGGUGGAGUGAUUUGUCUGGUUAAUUCCGAUAACGAACGAGACUCCAGCCUGCUAAAUAGACCCACGGUCCGCAGUACCGUGAGCGGGUCUUCUUAGAGGGACGGGCGGCUCUUAGCCGCAUGAAACGGAGCGAUAACAGGUCUGUGAUGCCCUUAGAUGUCCGGGGCCGCACGCGCGCUACACUGAAGGGAUCAGAACGCGUUUCCCCUAGCCCGAGAGGGCUGGGAAACCGUGUGAACCCCCUUCGUGCUAGGGAUAGGGGACUUGUAAUUGUUCCCCUCGAACGAGGAAUUCCUAGUAAACGCGAGUCAUCAGCUCGCGUUGAUUACGUCCCUGCCCUUUGUACACACCGCCCGUCGCUACUACCGAUUGAAUGAUUUAGUGAGGUCUUCGGACCGGUCCGGCGGA